CAAGUGAUUAAUGAUUAGGAUUAUUAUUAUUAUUUUAUUUACAUGUAAAUUGAAACAAUAAAUAUUGUGCUGUGUCAUAAUUUCAAACUCAUUAUGUUGCAGUCUUUUCCAGUUGAUAAAAUUGCAAUUCAAAAACUUUUAGAUUUGCACAGGAAGAGAACAAGAGUACAAGAACAUGAAACAUCUUAUUAUGAAUGUAUAUGUAUGUGAUCCUCAAAAAAUUAUUUUACAAAACAAGAUAGAGAAAGAGCUUUAAAAUCCCAAGGAUCCUGCAAAAUGUUUAUUUGGUGUACCUACUAGUCGAAUAAUAGUAUCUAAAAAUAUUGAAACUAUUUUAAAACACAUUAUGGGCAUGAGGAUGAUAUAGAGCACUUACAUAAAUACCAAAAUCAGAUAAAUAUCUCUUCAAAGUUUAUUUUGAGACUUUCUUCAAAAAUUAAACUUCAGACUGUUCAGGAUAGCAUAAUAGCAUAGGAGGCGAAUUAAAAAGAAUUGAUUUACUUACAAGAAAAGAUAUCACAAACAUUAAACUCUCUUAUGGCAUUGAUUUGAAAGAUGGGUAUAUGUACAAUGAUGAUGCAACCAGUGUUUAUUUUUGGGUUGAAUGCUUACAGACUCAUGUCCAAUAUUAUUUUACAAACAACAGGGCAUACUAAUGGAUAUUCAUUCUGAAUUUAACAUUUAUGAUUGUUGUCUUAUUUUCCUUAAUACUGUGUCAAAAGGAAAUGUUAAUUAAGUUUGGUAAAUCCUUUAUCGCAAUCGAUGGAACUCAUGGGCUCAAUUCCUAUGACUUUGAACUUAUGACAGUAUUAGUAAAAGAUGAAUUUGGGAAUGGAUUUUGUACUGCUUUCUUAUUUUCAAAUAGAAAAGAUACCUACUUUAAUUUACCAAUUUUUUUAAAUACAUGUCUGUGUUGGUAUUAUAUGUAUAGUCAAAUGUUUUCAUAUUAGGCAUAAGCGACACCUUUUACAAUGCCUCGUCAAAUGUAAUGUGUAUUGCUCCUAAUAGACUGUUAAGUGCCUGGCACAUAGAUAGGGCAUGGUAAGUAAAUCUUAAUAAAAUAUCUGAUUCUGAAAAAAUCCUAUUAUGUAUACAAGAUGUAUUAAUGAUGGUUUAGAGAGUGUUAAUAGCUUUUUGGGUAGACUUCUAAGUGAUGUAGAUACAUACAAUUUUUGUAAGUAUUUCCAGUAGAACUACUGCAAUAACAUCCAACAAUGGGCCUAUUGUUAUAGGAAGGGGUUGUGGAAUUAAUACCAAUAUGACCAUUCAAAAUUUUGGAUAAAAGGGUAUCCAUUAGUUGUUAUCAGUUAAGUUUAAAACUUGGCACUCAUGGAGAGCUAUACCAUAAUAUAUAAUAGGUAUAUCUCAUAAUAUUACAUCUCAUAUUGCUCACUCAUUACAAUAGUGAGCAAUAUGAGAUAUAACAUAUUAUAGUAUAAGUCUCUGUGCUUGACCAGAUUAACAUGUUUGGUGCCCAUCUCGAACAAGCUCCACUUGGCUGGUACCACAUACUUAAAUCAUUUAUUUAGUUACACAGUACUACUCACAUAACAUGUGUCGUCAGUACCUUCCGUAAAACUUUCAUGAUGCUACCCAUACGUCAUGGCCACUGAAUGUGUUAAAGCUUGUUAAUGUAGGAGAGUUAUACUAAAAUAUAUAUCUUAUAUUUUUAUAUUAUAUUGCCUUAAAUAGAAAAAAUAUCUUAUUUAAAUUGUAUCCAUGUAAGUUUUGAUUUAAUGAAAUAAACCUUUUAAUCAAAAAAGUGUUUACUUGUGUACACCCAGCAAUAUCCUGAUCAUAGAUAAAUAAUAUAGCAUUACCAGAUCCUGAUAUGCAGACGCCAAUAGGGCUUUUCAUCGAUUGUCAUUUGUUUC
rnacentral:lncRNA from 1 species